AAAUCCUUUAAUGAGGUCCAGAGAGGCCGGCAAGGAAAAGAUGAAAAUAAUUUGAUUAAUGAAAAUUAUUAUACUAACUUCUUGCCAUGCAAGAAGUUUUUUUAUAU
rfam:Garciella nitratireducens DSM 15102 genome assembly, contig: BP36DRAFT_scaffold00003.3